rnacentral:rRNA from 1 species
GAUCAUGGCUCAGGACGAACGCUGGCGGCGCGCUUAACACAUGCAAGUCGAGCGAUGAAACCUUAACAGAACCCUUCGGGGCGAAGAUAAGAUGGAUUAGCGGCGGACGGGUGAGUAACACGUGAGUAACCUGCCUUAGACAUUGGGAUAGCCUCGGGAAACCGGGAUUAAUACCAAAUGAAAUCACAUAUGCACAUGCAUAAAUGAUCAAAGCUCCGGCGGUCUAAGAUGGACUCGCG